rnacentral:rRNA from 1 species
ACGGAAGGCAGCAGUGGGGAAUAUUGCACAAUGGGGGAAACCCUGAUGCAGCGACGCCGCGUGAGUGAUGAAGUAUCUCGGUAUGUAAAGCUCUAUCAGCAGGGAAGAUAAUGACGGUACCUGACUAAGAAGCACCGGCUAAAUACGUGCCAGCAGCCGCGGUAAUACGUAUGGUGCAAGCGUUAUCCGGAUUUACUGGGUGUAAAGGGAGCGUAGGUGGUUUGGCAAGCCAGAAGUGAAAACCCGGGGCUCAACUCCGCGGAUUGCUUUUGGAACUGUUGAACUAGAGUGCAGGAGGGGUAAGUGGAAUUCCCAGUGUAGCGGUGAAAUGCGUAGAUAUUGGGAGGAACACCAGUGGCGAAGGCGGCUUACUGGACUGAUACUGACACUGAGGCUCGAAAGCGUGGGGAGCAAACAGGAUUAGAUACCCUGGUA